rnacentral:ribozyme from 1 species
UUCUUGCCAAUAUUGAUCCACAAAAUGAAGAAUUGAAAAAAAGAGCAAUGGUGUACAUGGAUAUAUGCAAAGAGAUCAACAAGGGUUUUACCGCGCUUGGUCUCUCUCGUAUCUUGCCAAAAUUUCUCCAUUUUAUU